GCAUUUUAGUUUGCUUGCAAACUGAAGAUGGCGACCGGCGCACGGGUGAGUAACACGUAUCCAACCUGCCGAUAACUCCGGGAUAGCCUUUCGAAAGAAAGAUUAAUACCGGAUAGCAUACGAAUAUCGCAUGAUAUUUUUAUUAAAGAAUUUCGGUUAUCGAUGGGGAUGCGUUCCAUUAGUUUGUUGGCGGGGUAACGGCCCACCAAGACUACGAUGGAUAGGGGUUCUGAGAGGAAGGUCCCCCACAUUGGAACUGAGACACGGUCCAAACUCCUACGGGAGGCAGCAGUGAGGAAUAUUGGUCAAUGGGCGAGAGCCUGAACCAGCCAAGUAGCGUGAAGGAUGAAGGCUCUAUGGGUCGUAAACUUCUUUUAUAUGGGAAUAAAGUUUUCCACGUGUGGAAUUUUGUAUGUACCAUAUGAAUAAGGAUCGGCUAACUCCGUGCCAGCAGCCGCGGUAAUACGGAGGAUCCGAGCGUUAUCCGGAUUUAUUGGGUUUAAAGGGAGCGUAGGUGGAUUGUUAAGUCAGUUGUGAAAGUUUGCGGCUCAACCGUAAAAUUGCAGUUGAAACUGGCAGUCUUGAGUACAGUAGAGGUGGGCGGAAUUCGUGGUGUAGCGGUGAAAUGCUUAGAUAUCACGAAGAACUCCGAUUGCGAAGGCAGCUCACUAGACUGUUACUGACACUGAUGCUCGAAAGUGUGGGUAUCAAACAGGAU
rnacentral:rRNA from 1 species